CCUACGGGUGGCUGCAGUGGGGAAUAUUGCACAAUGGGCGCAAGCCUGAUGCAGCCAUGCCGCGUGUGUGAAGAAGGCCUUCGGGUUGUAAAGCACUUUCAGCGGGGAGGAAGGCGGUGAGGUUAAUAACCUCAUCGAUUGACGUUACCCGCAGAAGAAGCACCGGCUAACUCCGUGCCAGCAGCCGCGGUAAUACGGAGGGUGCAAGCGUUAAUCGGAAUUACUGGGCGUAAAGCGCACGCAGGCGGUCUGUCAAGUCGGAUGUGAAAUCCCCGGGCUCAACCUGGGAACUGCACUCGAAACUGGCAGGCUAGAGUCUUGUAGAGGGGGGUAGAAUUCCAGGUGUAGCGGUGAAAUGCGUAGAGAUCUGGAGGAAUACCGGUGGCGAAGGCGGCCCCCUGGACAAAGACUGACGCUCAGGUGCGAAAGCGUGGGGAGCAAACAGGAUUAGAUACCCUUGUAGUC
rnacentral:rRNA from 1 species